AAUUAAGUGCCUGAUAAAGGGUUACCUUGAUAGGGUGAAUAAUGUAAAAUUAUUACCUUCAUUA
rnacentral:tRNA from 1 species